GACAGAGGUGCCGAGCGUUAGGCGGAAUCACUGGGCUUAAAGCGUGUGUAGGCGGGCGGGCAAGUACCUUGUGAAAUCCCACGGCUCAACCGUGGAACGGCUGGGUAUACUGCCUGUCUUGAGCCAACUAGGGGCGAGCGGAACAGACGGUGGAGCGGUGAAAUGCGUAGAUAUCAGGAGGAACACCGGUGGCGAAGGCGGGUCUCUGGGCUGUAACUGACGCUGAGGAGCGAAAGCAUGGGGAGCGAACAGG
rnacentral:rRNA from 1 species